rnacentral:rRNA from 1 species
AUUGAACGCUGGCGGCAGGCCUAACACAUGCAAGUCGAACGAGUGGCGGACGGGUGAGUAAUGUCUGGGAAACUGCCUGAUGGAGGGGGACAACUACUGGAAACGGUAGCUAAUACCGCAUACCAUCGGAUGUGCCAAGACGGAAUUAGCUAGUAUGCGGGGUAACGGCCCACCUAGGCGGCGAUCCCUAGCUGGUCUGAGAGGAUGACCGCCCACACUGGAACUGGGGCACGGUCCAGACUCCUACGGGAGGCAGCAGUGGAGAAUAUUGCACAAUGGGCGCAAGCCUGAUGCAGCCAGGCCGCGUGUAUGAAGAAGGCCUUCGGGUUGUAAAGUACUUUCAGCGGGGAGGCGUUACCCGGGGAAGAAGCACCGACUAACUCCGUGCCAGCAGCCGCGGUAAUUC